UAGCCGUAAACGAUACUCGCUAGGUGUCGGCCACGGUGCGACCGUUGUCGGUGCCGUAGGGAAGCCGUGAAGCGAGCCACCUGGGAAGUACGGCCGCAAGGCUGAAACUUAAAGGAAUUGGUGGGGGAGCACCACAACGGGUGGAGCUUGCGGUUUAAUUGGACUCAACGCCGGAAACUCAUCGGGAGCGACAGCAGUAUGAUUGCCAGGUUGAUGACCUUGCUUGACAAGCUGAGAGGAGGUGCAUGGCGUAGUCGUGU
rnacentral:rRNA from 1 species